AUUGAACGCUGGCGGCAGGCCUAACACAUGCAAGUCGAGCGGAUGAGAAGAGCUUGCUCUUCGAUUCAGCGGCGGACGGGUGAGUAAUGCCUAGGAAUCUGCCUGGUAGUGGGGGACAACGUUUCGAAAGGAGCGCUAAUACCGCAUACGUCCUACGGGAGAAAGCAGGGGACCUUCGGGCCUUGCGCUAUCAGAUGAGCCUAGGUCGGAUUAGCUAGUUGGUGAGGUAAUGGCUCACCAAGGCGACGAUCCGUAACUGGUCUGAGAGGAUGUUCAGUCACACUGGAACUGAGACACGGUCCAGACUCCUACGGGAGGCAGCAGUGGGGAAUAUUGGACAAUGGGCGAAAGCCUGAUCCAGCCAUGCCGCGUGUGUGAAGAAGGUCUUCGGAUUGUAAAGCACUUUAAGUUGGGAGGAAGGGCAGUAAGUUAAUACCUUGCAGUUUUGACGUUACCGACAGAAUAAGCACCGGCUAACUCUGUGCCAGCCGCCGCGGUAAUAC
rnacentral:rRNA from 1 species